rnacentral:rRNA from 1 species
CCCUUAGAUGUUCUGGGCCGCGCGCGCGCUACACUGUUCGACGCAGCGAGUCUUAACCUUGACCGAAAGGUUUGGGUAAUCUUCAGCAAAGUCGAACGUGAUGGGGAUCGAUCAUUGCAAUUAUUGAUCGUGAACGAGGAAUUCCUAGUAAGUGCAAGUCAUCAGCUUGCGCUGAUUACGUCCCUGCCCUUUGUACACACCGCCCGUCGCUACUACCGAUUGAAUGGUUUAGUGAGAUCUCUGGAUUGACGCUGGCUAGGGGGCGACCCUUGGCCAGGCUGUCGAGAAACUGCUCAAACUUGAUCAUUUAGAGGAAGUAAAAGUCGUAACA